GCAACAGGCAGCUCUGAAAGGGCCCAAAGGAGCAUCCAGGGGAAAUCAGAGGGGAAGUUGUGGAGUGAAAAUCAGUGAGAUGGGGAGAAGCUGGCUCCAAGUUAUGUGGAAGUGUCCAGCUGUGAGUGUUUUUAGUGCUUGCAAUCCCCUAUCACUGUUUGUAUACAAUUAUUUAUUAAGAUCAAGCUCAGCUGUGAAGUUCCUAUGACUUCUAGGAUUGUUCUUCUGGUUAGAAAUUCUCCAGCUCUUAAGCAAGGUCUCUGCUCUGCUCUGCCUUGAGAAGCUUCUACUUGGGUCUCCACCUAGAGCAGAACUGCACUUUGUCAGCAGUGAAUUUGUUAUUAUGGGCCAGACAUUUCCAACAAUGGAAAGUUUCACAAGAGGUACACCCACAAGAGAGCAAGUAGGAAGGAGAAUAUUCUAAAUACAACUUUUGCCAGCAAAAAAGAGAACAAAGAAGUUCAGUGUUGUGGAGAAUUUAAAAUUGGCUCACACUGCAGAGGAGAUUUCAUUACCAACACAUCAGCCCUCAAGAGCUUCUGAAGGUUCUUCAGAUCAUUCUGUCUGCAUAUCUUUACACAUACAUAUCUGCCCCUAACCUGACCCCAAACUAUCUCCAGGAUUGAUGGGGCUCUGAGCAACCUGGUCUGGUGGAAGGUCCCUGCCCAUGGCAUGGGGGUUACAACCAGACCUUUCAGGUCCCUUCUAAUGACCAGCCUACAAUUCUGUCAAACCUUUGGGUCAGAAUCUGCCAGAUCCAAGUUUUAGCUGAAGAAAAGGCACAACCAUGGUUUUAAUAUUUAUUAGAGCAGUAGGGAGUGUGCUGAGAAAAGAGACAGCAACAGACUGGAGCAGAGUUCAAGCCUUUUAAAAUACAACCAAAUCCAACUGCUCAGCACACUGCUGUAGAAAGCCAAGCUCCACUUUACAGUGUUUGACUUUAUUUAAAAAUGCAAAUGGCUGCAGCCCCCCAUCCAUCUGAUCUGCCAGAGAAGAGGAGUUUGAGGAGGUACAGCAGAGCACACAACAGUGCUUUCAGUACAUCUUGUUAUGCUGCAGCAGAAAACUCCAAAAUGAAGCCUGAAGACUUCAUGUAUCAAUGAGCACUGAUUUUGCCUUUCACUGAAGGUACAGAAGAAGAUAUAAACACUUCUAUAAGCCCUGUAGAGCGUUCCUGCACAGUUGUUUGCAGACACUGUCUCCCCAGAUGAUUAACAAACAGCAGUAAUGGGUCUGUGUUUGAGCACAACGCUGCUGGAGUUAAUAUCCAAAUCCUUCCCUGUUUGGGAAAGGCAUUUUCUAGGUGUUUGAAAAUGGGCUGGUUAAUCAUCAAAACUGGAGUCAUUCAGGCAAGAGUACUUCAGCGAUGAGAGAGUAGGGAAAAAAAAGGCUGCUCUGUUUGCUAAAGGUGACAGAUUUGACAACCUUUAUUUUCUUCUGGAAGACGGAUGCUUCAUCUGUGUUGACAUCAGGGAGUAUGGUCAUGUAAGAUUGUGUAGACUAUUUUAUUGAUACUCAGUACAGGCAAAAAUUGUGGAAUUUUUUAUUGUAGUUUUUAUGCAGUCACAUGUUGCAAGACAUUGUCUAUGGAUGAAAAGAAACACUGCAUAAGCAACUCUUAACAAUUAACCAGAAUUCUUGCACCAACAGUGCAACAGGGCACAAAAUUUUCUCCUUUCAUUAUACCCAGUUUGGAUUUUCCACACUUGAUUUGGCUUUUUGCCAGCAAGAGCACUGGGCCAACACCAUUCUCUUUCAACCUUUCCAACUAAAAUUGCAAGACACAAAUUUCUGUCAAAGAGCGUUUGCUGGCCUGGGGAGGUGACGUGUGUUGGUGUUUGUGAAACGCUGUGAAGAUGCAGAAUGCUCCAGGAGAGCUGUUUGUUCUGAAGGAGGACCAGAGCAGUGGGGAUGCACACCCAGGGGCUCGGGGAGGAGGAGAGGUCAGCGAGCUUGCACAGGAGGCAGUGCUGAGGGCUGGAGAACCGAAGGAAGAGCUGAGGCGUUUGGGAGAGCAGAGCUGCUGUCAGCCCCCACUGAGAUCUGAAUGCAUUUGUUACUGUGACGAGGCUAACACUUUCUCUUUUGUGCUAACUUUGGUUCCUUGCAGUGCACAUCCUCCCCCUCUCCUCCUCGAGCGUCUGCUGAGGUCACAUCUUCUCCUCUGCUCCCCCGCCUCCACGUUUUGGGGAUGAACACUCAUUGUUGCCUACCCCAUAAGCUCCCAGCACGUGCCCAGCCUCUCCCCCAGGACUGGGAUGUCACUAUAAGACAUGAAAAAACAUGACAUGAACACGCUGCUGUUCUCAAGGUAAAAAGGGCAGUUUAUUUUCUGACUCCAACAUUUAUAGAUUUCCAGAAGUGACAGUGGAUUGGAAGGUGAAAGUGCCACCUCUCCAAUGACACUGGACAAACCAACAGUCCAUCAAAUUUUUCUUCAUAAAAGAAUGCAAAACAAUAAAUUAUUUACAGAAAGUGUGUGAGAAAGUUCAUUACAAGAAUGCAAACAUCAGAAGGCUUAGAAAAUCUUUAAAAAUCAGGGUGACACUGGGACACAUGGCAUUGCUGUGACAGAGUGGCACUUCCACUGGGACAAGGACGCUGUCAAUCCCAGCACAAAAAGAGGGCUAAAGAAGCAUCCACACUGCAUGCUGAGAGGCUUGAGCUGUGCCCAGGCACCAAGGCCAGCUCAGGACACCAUAGUCCUUGCCUGGGGCUGGGGAGGGAGAGACUGGCUGUUUGCUCAGGGUCUGCAGCACAUCCACAUGGCUCUGCUGCCACUGGACCCUCCUCAGCCUCUCCCUAGGGUGAGGAAGACAUUGGAUCAAGAACUGCAUACAGUUGCUGGGGUACAUCCUACUUUUCUUCCAAAUUCAGGAGGAAGGGACAAAAAUUAAGUGUGAGCCAGAAGACACUGCACAGUAUUUUUUCUCUGCUACAAGUUCUGAUCUGCUGGACAUUGGGCCACCAGCCUUUCCCUGCUGCUUCAUUUCAGAUGCUUUUAUGUAAGCCAUUUAAAUCCCUUCCAGUACCUGCUGUGGCACCCAUGCAGCAGGUUUUCUCUGUUGGUGUAGGCACCCCAGCCUCAAUACAGUGACAAGGGUGGGAUUUCUGUCCUGCACAUCAUUGCCUGGCUUGUACUUGUCAUGGUCUAUAUGUACCACCUACAGACAGGGAUGGGGAGCUGGCAGGCUGCUGAAUCCUGCCCUGAGAGCAAAGAGAGCAGGAAGAAUCUCUCCAACAGAAAAUUCUCACUAGACUAAAUCUAAAUUAAAUCCUUCUCUGUCCUUCCUAAGACCUAAGCAGCCCUUGCUGAAGCUUUUAUUUUUCAGCUUAACUCUUCAGGUAUCUUACAUAUUCUCUACCCAGGGAAUAUCUGCUAAUAAGGUCUGAGCAUACUCUUAAAAUUUAUUUCAAAGCUAACUAACAAUAACCCAUCCCUUCAGGACUCCACCUUAAUUACUAUAACUUUACUUCUACUCCUAGCUUAUAUACUGCUGGCCUGUGUUCCAGACUGAUGCAUU